rnacentral:pre_miRNA from 1 species
CUGGGCUGCUGGAUCCGCCGGCGAGGAGAACGGGUCACUGGAUCCGGCGGCCCCGGCCUCCUCACGGGGAGAUCCGGCGGCUCGU